CCCAAUUUAACCUACACUAUAUCUUUCACGAUUCCGGAGAUCCCAAUGGUGAGCCACGAAUUUGAAUCACCCUGUACACUAUGGCGAGCGAGACGAAGGCGAGAUCGACCUAAUCCAAUCGCUCGCCCGAAAUUCUGGAGCGUGUUGUAGGGUUCCGGUCACAAAACACAGAGUUCAUACCAAUGCCGGGUGAACCGAAGGCGAGAUUGGCAUAUAUCAACCGCAUGCCCGAAAUUAUAGAGCGUUAAACGGUUUCGGUCACAAAACACAGAAAUCAUACAAAAGGCGAGUUCGGCAUAGCUCGGGGUUUCCUGUAGACUCGCCCCUCUACGUCCACGGUGGCCAACGAUGCGAUGUUAGAAGAUGCAUAUAAGAAGUCAAAAAAGUCUGCUCCUGGGCCUGAUAUGAUCAAUUAUGAAAUGAUAGACCACCUCCCGUACAAAUUAGAGAAAACACUGGUAAAAUUACAAUUUGUCCACGGAUUGAAUGCAGAUAAGGUGUAUAUGAAAAUUUUUUUAGAGUUUUAGAGAGGGUCUUCAUGUUAUGAGGAUCGUUUCUGUAUAUUAAUUGACUUGGCUCAUUUUUUAAUAUCUUAGCACGAGCGCUCCUCAAACAUGAAGAUCCGUGGACAUACUGUAUAUGCCAUCUUGAAUGAAAAAAAAAUCUUCUCACGUUUCACGACUACCUAUUUCUUUACACAGAUGGAUAAAAAACCGAUGUUUGGUUCAGGAUGUAGUUUGUUUGUGGAAGGAAAUAAAUAUAUGAGUGGUCGAUCCUCCAA